UGGGGGUGCUCGAGUGGCGAACGGGUGAGUAACACGUGGGUGAUCUGCCCUGUACUUCGGGAUAAGCUUGGGAAACUGGGUCUAAUACCGGAUAGGACCAUGGUUUAGUGUCUCAUGGUGGAAAAAUUAUUGUUUUGGUGCAGGAUGAGCUCGCGGCCUAUCAGCUUGUUGGUGGGGUAAUGGCCUACCAAGGCGUCGACGGGUAGCCGGCCUGAGAGGGUGGACGGCCACAUUGGGACUGAGAUACGGCCCAGACUCCUACGGGAGGCAGCAGUGGGGAAUAUUGCACAAUGGGCGCAAGCCUGAUGCAGCGACGCCGCGUGGGGGAUGACGGCCUUCGGGUUGUAAACUCCUUUCGUUAGGGACGAAGCCACAUUUUUUUGGGUGUGGUGACGGUACCUUUGUUAAGAAGCACCGGCUAACUACGUGCCAGCAGCCGCGGUAAUACGUAGGGUGCGAGCGUUGUCCGGAAUUACUGGGCGUAAAGAGCUCGUAGGUGGUUUGUUGCGUCGUCUGUGAAAUUCCGGGGCUUAACUUCGGGGUGGCAGGCGAUACGGGCAUAACUAGAGUGCUGUAGGGGAGACUGGAAUUCCUGGUGUAGCGGUGGAAUGCGCAGAUAUCAGGAGGAACACCGAUGGCGAAGGCAGGUCUCUGGGCAGUAACUGACGCUGAGGAGCGAAAGCAUGGGGAGCGAACAGGAUUAGAUACCCUGGUAGUCCAUGCUGUAAACGGUGGGCGUUAGGUGUGGGG
rnacentral:rRNA from 1 species